UGGCGCAGUGGAUAGCGCUGAUGUUUUCCAAUUUUUCAGUGCGGGUUCAAUUCCCGC
rnacentral:tRNA from 1 species